ensembl:snoRNA
AUCCCUCUAUAGUUUAUAAGUGUGAUGAUUGGGUUUCAUACUCGUGUGAGAUGUGCCUCCCUCAAACCCUCUCAUACCACCAGCACAUGACCCAUCCCAUG